rnacentral:rRNA from 1 species
AUUGAACGCUGGCGGCAGGCCUAACACAUGCAAGUCGAACGCGUGGCGGACGGGUGAGUAAUGUCUGGGCAACUGCCAGAUGGAGGGGGAUCACUACUGGACACGGUCGCUAAUCCCGCAUACCAUCGGAUGUCCCCAGAUGGGAUUAGCUAGUAGGUGGGGUAACGGCUCACCUAGGCCACGCUCCCUAGCUGGUCUGAGAGGAUGACCAGCCACACUGGAACUGAGACACGGUCCAGACUCCUACGGGAGGCAGCAGUGGGGAAUAUUGCACAAUGGGCGAAAGACUGAUGCAGCCAUGCCGCGUGUGUGAAGAAGGCCUUCGGGUUGUAAAGUACUUUCAGCGAGGAGGCGUUACUCGCAGAAGAAGCACCGGCUAACUCCGUGCCAGCAGCCGCGGUAAUAC